rnacentral:rRNA from 1 species
AUUGAACGCUGGCGGCAGGCCUAACACAUGCAAGUCGAACGAGUGGCGGACGGGUGAGUAAUGUCUGGGAAACUGCCCGAUGGAGGGGGAUAACUACUGGAAACGGUAGCUAAUACCGCAUACCCUCGGAUGUGCCCAGAUGGGAUUAGCUAGUAGGUGGGGUAACGGCUCACCUAGGCGACGAUCCCUAGCUGGUCUGAGAGGAUGACCAGCCAAACGGGAACUGGGACACGGUCCAGACUCCUACGUGAGGCAGCGGUGGGGAAUAUUGCAAAAGGGGCGCAAGCCUGAUGCAGCCAUGCGGCGUGUAUUAAGAAGGCCUUCGGGUUGUAAAGUACUUUCAGCGAGGAGGCGUUACUCGCAGAGGAAGCACCGGCUAACUCCGUGCCAGCAGCCGCGGUAAUAC